rnacentral:rRNA from 1 species
UACGUAGGUGGCGAGCGUUGUCCGGAUUUACUGGGCGUAAAGGGAGCGUAGGCGGACUUUUAAGUGAGAUGUGAAAUACCCGGGCUCAACUUGGGUGCUGCAUUUCAAACUGGAAGUCUAGAGUGCAGGAGAGGAGAAUGGAAUUCCUAGUGUAGCGGUGAAAUGCGUAGAUAUCGGGAGGAACAUCGGUGGCGAAGGCGGUAACUGGACUGCAACUGACGCUGAGGCACGAAAGUGUGGGGAUCAAACAGGAUUAGAUACCCUGGUAGU